UAACACGUGAGCAAUCUGCCUUUCAGAGGGGGAUACCGAUUGGAAACGAUCGUUAAUACCGCAUAACAUAAUUGAACCGCAUGAUUUGAUUAUCAAAGAUUUAUCGCUGAAAGAUGAGCUCGCGUCUGAUUAGCUAGUUGGUAAGGUAACGGCUUACCAAGGCGGCGAUCAGUAGCCGGACUGAGAGGUUGAUCGGCCACAUUGGGACUGAGACACGGCCCAGACUCCUACGGGAGGCAGCAGUGGGGAAUAUUGCACAAUGGAGGAAACUCUGAUGCAGCGAUGCCGCGUGAGGGAAGAAGGUUUUAGGAUUGUAAACCUCUGUCUUCGGGGACGAAAAAAGACGGUACCUGAGGAGGAAGCUCCGGCUAACUACGUGCCAGCAGCCGCGGUAAUACGUAGGGAGCGAGCGUUGUCCGGAAUUACUGGGUGUAAAGGGAGCGUAGGCGGGAUCGCAAGUCAGAUGUGAAAACUAUGGGCUUAACCCAUAAACUGCAUUUGAAACUGUGGUUCUUGAGUGAAGUAGAGGUAAGCGGAAUUCCUAGUGUAGCGGUGAAAUGCGUAGAUAUUAGGAGGAACAUCAGUGGCGAAGGCGGCUUACUGGGCUUUAACUGACGCUGAGGCUCGAAAGCGUGGGGAGCAAACAGGAUUAGAUACCCUGGUAGUCCACGCCGUAAACGAUGAUUACUAGGUGU
rnacentral:rRNA from 1 species